rnacentral:rRNA from 1 species
CAGACGAGGAGCUUGCUCCUUUGACGUUAGCGGCGGACGGGUGAGUAACACGUGGGUAACCUACCUAUAAGACUGGGAUAACUUCGGGAAACCGGAGCUAAUACCGGAUAAUAUUUCGAACCGCAUGGUUCGAUAGUGAAAGAUGGCUCUGCUAUCACUUAUAGAUGGACCUGCGCCGUAUUAGCUAGUUGGUAAGGUAACGGCUUACCAAGGCAACGAUACGUAGCCGACCUGAGAGGGUGAUCGGCCACACUGGAACUGAGACACGGUCCAGACUCCUACGGGAGGCAGCAGUAGGGAAUCUUCCGCAAUGGGCGAAAGCCUGACGGAGCAACGCCGCGUGAGUGAUGAA